rnacentral:rRNA from 1 species
CCUACGGGAGGCAGCAGUGGGGAAUAUUGCACAAUGGGGGAAACCCUGAUGCAGCGACGCCGCGUGGGUGACGAAGUAUUUCGGUAUGUAAAGCCCUAUCAGCCGGGAAGAAGAUGACAGUACCUGACCAAGAAGCCCCGGCUAACUACGUGCCAGCAGCCGCGGUAAUACGUAGGGGGCAAGCGUUAUCCGGAUUUACUGGGUGUAAAGGGAGCGUAGGUGGCAUGGCAAGACAGAAGUGAAAACCCGGGGCUUAACCCCGCGGAUUGCUUUUGGAACUGUCAGGCUGGAGUGCAGGAGGGGUAGGCGGAAUGCCUGGGGUAGCGGUGAAAUGCGUAGAUAUCAGGAGGAACACCGGUGGCGAAGGCGGCCUGCUGGACUGUAACUGACACUGAGGCUCGAAAGCGUGGGGAGCAAACAGGAUUAGAUACCCCGGUAGUC